CCCCCGCCCUCCCCCCGCCCCGCUCCCUCUCCAGCCCCACCGAAGAGGAGGCGCCGGACGCGCUGCUGCUGCUGCUGCUCCGGGGACGCUCGCGCGCGCCUGGACUCCUCUGCCUCUUCUUCUUCUUCUUCCUCCUCUUCUUCUUCCUCCUCCUCCUCCUCCUCUUCUCUUCCUCCUCUUGUUCUUCUUUUUCCUCUUCUUCUUUCUCCUCGCCUCGCGCUGCCCACGUUGCUCCUGCCAGCCCAGCCCAGCGCGGCAGCCGAGCGGAGCCCUGCCGGAGCGCGGAGCGAGCCAUGCGCGCCUGCCCCUUCCUCCUCCUCCUGCUGCUGCCGCUCCUGCUCAGCCUCGGGCGCAUCGCCGCUGUCCGGGACGCAGCGGGCGCGGGGCCGGAGCGCCGCCCAGAUGAUAGCGUUUCUCAAGUGCAAAAGCUGAGAGAAGAACCAUCUAAAGUCCGGGAUCUACAAGUGAAGUUCAUUGUUCGUAUCACCCCAGGCCUGGAUGAUGCUGACUGCUACAUCACGGCUGGUCAAGACCACCUCCUAGAUGACUGCAACUUCAAUGUCUCCGCAAAGACUUUCUUUGUUAUUCAUGGAUGGACAAUGGGGGGCAUGUAUGAAAGAUGGCUGGACACCCUGGUCUCAGCUCUGCAGGAACGUGAGAAGGAAGCCAACGUGGUGGUGGUGAACUGGCUGGCUCUGGCCCAGCAACUCUACACCAUCGCCGUCAACAAUACGAGGGUGGUUGGAAAAGAACUUGCAGGCCUGCUGGACUGGUUAGAGGAGAAGAAGGACUUCCAACUCAAGAACGUCCAUCUGAUUGGCUACAGUCUCGGGGCCCACAUCGCUGGCUACACUGGAAACUAUGCCCGGGGGAUUAUUGGAAGAAUUACAGGCUUGGAUCCAGCUGGGCCGAUGUUUGAGGGAGCCGAUCCAAGCAGACGUCUCUCCCCUGAUGAUGCUGAUUUUGUGGAUGUCCUGCACACGUACACGAGAGAAACGUUGGGCAUCAGCAUCGGGAUCCAGAUGCCCGUGGGUCACAUUGACAUUUACCCCAAUGGAGGAGACAUCCAGCCAGGAUGUGGGCUUACGGAUAUCUUGGGAACGCUGGCUUUAGGCGAGAUCGGAGACCUUGUGAUCUGUGAACACGAGCGGUCCGUGCACCUCUUUGUGGACUCCCUGGUGAACAAGGACAAGCAGAGUUUUGCCUUCCAGUGCACGGAUUCCGGGCGCUUCAAGAAGGGCAUCUGCCUGAGCUGCCGGAAGAAUCGCUGCAACAGCAUCGGAUACAACAUCAAGAAGAUGCGGAACAAGCGCAACAGCAAGAUGUACCUCAAGACAAGGGCCGACAUGCCUUUCAAAGUUUUCCACUAUCAGCUGAAGAUCCACGUCUUCAGUUACAAGAGCCUGGGAGAAACGGAACCGUCUUUUUCUGUGACUUUCUAUGGAACCAGCGGCGAUUCGGAACCUCUGCCUCUGGAAGUAUCCGAUCAGAUCGGCCUCAACUAUACAAACACCUUCCUGGUUUACACAGAAGAAGACGUGGGUGAUAUCCUAAGGAUCAAACUCACUUGGGAAAGCACCACCCAGUCCUGGUACAACUUUUGGAGCCAAAUGAAAAAUUACUGGUCCAAGCCUGAUCCCUCGUCCAAAGAACUGCAGAUCAGACGGAUCCGCGUGAAGUCGGGAGAAACGCAGAAGAAGCUUGUGUUUUGUGCAGAAGACCCUGGGAAGACCGACGUAUCUCCCGGCCAAGAACUCUGGUUUGUAAAAUGCCGAGAAGGGUGGCAAAAAUGGAACAGAACAAUACCAGGAUCAAACUGGCAUUGAAGUGUCCUCCUUGGGAAGCCGCCUAGAUCCAUCAGGGACCAACCCAGCUGGAAAAAGCAUUUGCUGUGACGAAAGACAAGAGGCCAAAACGUGUUUCUGCAGACUUUUUCCUCCGGCUUCCUCACUUGUCAGCACUUGCAAGAGCUUGUAGUUUAAAGAUGAAUCUGCGGGGUGGCUAAAAACUGUCUCAGCGUGGAUGAUAACUCAGAGAACUUUUUAUAUUUAUGGCUUCUACUUUUUUAAAGAAUUAUUUAUUGGGAGGGGAUAAACCCACCUGUUACUAAACUGGCCUCUUUUCAGAGACCCUUCCUGGUUUUGCCUAUGCCAUCUUGCCUUGGUCAAUGUUGGGGGUCUUUAAUGCCUCUUUUACAAGCCCAGUCGAAACAGGUUGCACGUUAUUGCAACCCCACAAUUGAUGUGAAUGCAGACAGAGCCAGUCACAUGAUAUAGGGCACUGUGGGGUCCUUGGUUCUCUCUGAGUUUGGUAGCUUGUUUUUUUGGGGGGGGGGGCAGACAUUUCAUUACCCAACUAGGUAAUGUCAUCAUGAGUACUAGAAGUGGGAUUUUUCCUUCUGUUUAUGUGCUAAUAUAGCUGGCCCUUUCAAUGUUGGUGGGAAUAUUCUUUGUGGUUUCUUAUCUAGGCCAUUUACUUCAGCUUGUUCUUUGAUUGGGGUCUUGUUUACUUGCUGCUUCUUGGUUGAGAAACACUGGUCUAGGAUUAAUGUUGGUGUUAAUCUCUAGUAAUCUGGGUGUUGAUUGUUGGUGGGGAGAUGUUGUGGUCUCCUAACAAUGACAGAGCAAGCCACAGUUCAACCCUAAGCUAGAAACGCUGUCUUCUAUUGAUAGAGCACGGUUUCUCAACCUUUGCAAAAUUAAGAUGUGUGGACUUCAGCUCCCAGAAUUCCCCAUCUUAACGUUGCCGAGGAUGAGAAAUGGAUCGAUGGAUCUAUUCAGUGCAUAUUUCAAAAAUGAUCGGGGAAGAAGUAUAUUCCCCUACUUAUCACUCAAAAAAUUUGAGCUUGGUGUUUUUUCUUGCAGAUGUUUCAUUACCCAUCUAGGUAACACCAUCAGUGCUAGAAAGGAGUGGGGUGUGCUCUUGUUUUUAUGUAUUAGUGGCUUGCCUCAUCAAUGUCGGUGGGAUGUUUUGGGGAGUUCCUUGAUUAGGUUGUUGUUUACAGUUACUUGUUUGUCUGCAUUGGUAGUUCCUGGAUUGAAAAACGAAUGUUUUCAGAAAUCUGCUUAUUAAAGUCAAUGCAACUUUAUAAGUAGGGUGCCCCCUCCCCUCCCUUCCAGGUCCAUUUGGAAACCAGAAAAAAAAUAGGGCUGCUUUAGUGAAAAAUGGAGAGAUUGGAAACGCUUCUUCCAAAUAAUGUUCUAAGUAUGCACAAUCCUAAUCCCUUCGUGGGAGGAAAGAAUAUUUUUCUCCUUCAACAUGACAGUUCUUAGAUUCUCCACUUGCCUGACCAAAGCAUUGUACUCAAAAUUAUCUGUUGUUAAUCAAGUCAAUACCUCCCUGUUUCUGGUGUUUUUCCUUUUCUAAAGUAUUAGAAGGAAAAUCAUUUUAUUCUAUAACUCUGCAGCAACGUUUCAUCUGCCUCUCUAACAAAUCUUUUUUUUUAAAAUGAGAGCAAAGCAUACUUUUGAGUGAAGUGAAGUCUGGUUUAAUAAAAGAGGACCCAGAAGAAAAUGUACAGCUUCUGUUCAGGGUUCCAUGACUUUUGAAAAAA